GAUGAACGCUGGCGGCGUGCCUAAUACAUGCAAGUCGAGCGAACGGACGAGAAGCUUGCUUUUCUGAUGUUAGCGGCGGACGGGUGAGUAACACGUGGAUAACCUACCUAUAAGACUGGGAUAACUUCGGGAAACCGGAGCUAAUACCGGAUAAUAUUUUGAACCGCAUGGUUCAAAAGUGAAAGACGGUCUUGCUGUCACUUAUAGAUGGAUCCGCGCUGCAUUAGCUAGUUGGUAAGGUAACGGCUUACCAAGGCAACGAUGCAUAGCCGACCGGAGAGGGUGAUCGGCCAGACUGGAACUGAGACACGGUCCAGACUCCUACGGGAGGCAGCAGUAGGGAAACUGCCGCAAUGGGCGAAAGCCUGACGGAGCAACGCCGCGUGAGUGAUGAAGGUCUUCGGAUCGUAAAACUCUGUUAUUAGGGAAGAACAUAUGUGUAAGUAACUGUGCACAUCUUGACGGUACCUAAUCAGAAAGCCACGGCUAACUACGUG
rnacentral:rRNA from 1 species